GGGGACUACAUGCAGUCGAGCGAACAGACGAGGAGCUUGCUCCUCUGACGUUAGCGGCGGACGGGUGAGUAACACGUGGGUAACCUACCUAUAAGACUGGGAUAACUCCGGGAAACCGGGGCUAAUACCGGAUAAUACAUGAAACCGCAUGGUUUCAUGAUGAAAGACGGUUUUGCUGUCACUUAUAGAUGGACCCGCGGCGUAUUAGCUAGUUGGUAAGGUAACGGCUUACCAAGGCAACGAUAACGUAGCCGACCUGAGAGGGUGAUCGGCCCCCACUGGAACUGAGACACGGGCCCAGACUCCUACGGGGGGGCAGCAGUAGGGAUCUUCCGCAAUGGGGCGAAAAGCCUGACGGAACAACGCCCCCGUGAGGGAUGAGGGCCUUCGGACCGUAAAACCCUGUUUUUAGGGAAAAACAAGGGUUUUAGUAACUGUGCAUCCCUUGACGGUACCUAAUCAGAAAGCCCCGGGUUAAUUACGUGCCAGCAGCCGCGGGAAUACGUUGGGGGCAAGCGUUAUCCGGGAAUUUUUGGGGUAAAGCGGGCUAGGGGGUUUUUUUUGUCUGAGGGGAAAGCCCCCGGCUCACCCGGGAGGGUCAUUGGAAACUGGAAAACUUGAGUGCAGAAGAGGAAAGUGGAAUUCCAUGUGUAGCGGUGAAAUGCGCAGAGAUAUGGAGGAACACCAGUGGCGAAGGCGACUUUCGGCCG
rnacentral:rRNA from 1 species